UUUUAAAUAGGUGAUGUUCUGUUUGAAUAUGAUGGUCCUUGAGGACCAUCACUAUUUUCAAAAGAUUUGCCUUUGCCUUUACUUUUUUUUCUUUUGCCUGCUUUUGCCUCCUACUGCUUGCAGCUGGCAACGUCCUUUAGCGGACGUGGUUUUUGUACGAUAAAAGUCUGCUUUUAACGCGACACCUCAGGUAUGAGGUAGAGCGUAAUAAAACAAUAUAAUAAUACGUUAUAAGAAUUUAAAUAGGGGAUGUGAGCACUCCCACCCUAAAACAAAAUUUUGAGAUCUCUCUCCCUGGUCGAAACACAGUGAACUUCUCUCUCGAACCGAAUUUUUUUAUCGGAAGCUCCCUCUCAAAUAAUUGUGGGUAAGUUACAUCGUCUUUCUGAAAAAUAGUCUAUUUUUAAUAAAUAGUGAUAUUUCCGUCUAGGAUCUUUAUUUUAUCAGUUUUAUGUGUAAGCGACCUCAUUGUCUCAAAAAAUAAUCCAUUCUUUUUAAAAAUAAAAUGAAAUAAUUAUUUCUGCUUAUUAUCAUGAAUUUUAGGCGCGAUAAAUUUUAUGCGCACGUGACCUCAUUAUCUUGAAAAAUAAUCUUUUUAAUAAAAAUUGUGAUAUUUUAUCUAUGUUAGAAAUUUUGAAUGCUGUAAAUUAGAAAAAUAAAUUUAUUUAUUUUUCUUGUCUAUUGUUAGAAAUAAAUGUGAUAUUUCUGCUUUUAGUAAAAUUGUGAUAUUUCUUUCUACUGUUUUGAAAAUUUAGACAUUGUAAAAUUCAUGUGCAAAUGACUGCCUUAUUAUUUAAAAAUUGACAUUUUUGCAAUUGAUUAUAGUAUUGUUGUGAAAUGUUUAUUUGUGAAUUGAUAUUCCAUAAAUUGUGAUAAUUCCGUAUUCUUGAAUUUUUAUAAGAGUUUUUCUAUACAUAUUAAAUUGGCAAUUAUGCUAGAAUGCCUUUACAAACUGCU
rnacentral:lncRNA from 1 species